rnacentral:lncRNA from 1 species
AUGUUGUACAUAAGAAGUCAAGAGGAUUUUUUUUUGCCUAAAUGUGCCCAACUUGAUGGGAGUGUGUUUCUCUUCUCAGAGUCAGUGGUCGGGGUGACGGUUCUGUUCCCUCUCAGAAGUCUGUCGGGCAGGGGUGGGUGUGACUGUGGCCGUGCUGUAGGCUUUGCCUGGGGAGGCCGCUGCUCUUCUCGCGUCUCCAGCAGCCAGGUCAGGGCUCUGGCCCUGGUUUGGCAUUCCACCUCAGUUGGUGAGUUGGGAGACUUUAUCAGAUACUUUCGCUUUAUGGAAUACAUCUGUGUGGAAAUCUUUUCAAUUUCGAAACUAUCAGGGCAUCAGCUAUCAAAUAUGAUGAAAAGUAGAACUUAUCUAGCAGUGUUAAAGGCAUCCCUUGCCUCUGCAUUGAACUUCAGGUGUCAAUACAAAGGAAUGGAGCGUCAUCCUGAGCCAGUUCCAUCGUGUGUAAAUUCAUACUAUUUUAAUUUUUUAUGCAAUCUGAUGAGUAGAUGA